rnacentral:rRNA from 1 species
AACGAACGCUGGCGGCGUGUCUUAAGCAUGCAAGUCGAGUGGCAAGGGCAGCAACGCCCCUAGAACGGCGGACUGGUGAGUAACGCGUGGGUGAUCUGCCCUUGGGUUGGGGAUAGCCAUUAGAAAUAGUGGGUAAUACCGAAUACGUUCGCGAGGCUGUGGCCUUGCGAGGAAAGGAGCUUCGGCGCCGCCCGACGAUGAGCCCGCGUCCCAUUAGCUAGUUGGUGAGGUAACGGCCCACCAAGGCGAUGAUGGGUAGGUGGCCUGAGAGGGUGUACGCCCACACUGGGACUGAGAUACGGCCCAGACUCCUACGGGGGGCAGCAGCUAAGAAUAUUCCGCAAUGGACGAAAGUCUGACGGAGCGACGCCGCGUGGAUGAUGAAGGCCGAAAGGUUGUAAAAUCCUUUUGUCGGGGAAGAAUAAGCCUGGGAGGGAAUGCCCGGGUGAUGACAUGAACCGGCGAAUAAGCCCCGGCUAACUACGUGCCAGCCGCCGCAGUAA